rnacentral:rRNA from 1 species
AUAAUGGGUCAGCGACUUAUAUUCUGUAGCAAGGUUAACCGAAUAGGGGAGCCGAAGGGAAACCGAGUCUUAACUGGGCGUUAAGUUGCAGGGUAUAGACCCGAAACCCGGUGAUCUAGCCAUGGGCAGGUUGAAGGUUGGGUAACACUAACUGGAGGACCGAACCGACUAAUGUUGAAAAAUUAGCGGAUGACUUGUGGCUGGGGGUGAAAGGCCAAUCAAACCGGGAGAUAGCUGGUUCUCCCCGAAAGCUAUUUAGGUAGCGCCUCGUGAAUUCAUCUCCGGGGGUAGAGCACUGUUUCGGCAAGGGGGUCAUCCCGACUUACCAACCCGAUGCAAACUGCGAAUACCGGAGAAUGUUAUCACGGGAGACACACGGCGGGUGCUAACGUCCGUCGUGAAGAGGGAAACAACCCAGACCGCCAGCUAAGGUCCCAAAGUCAUGGUUAAGUGGGAAACGAUGUGGGAAGGCCCAGACAGCCAGGAUGUUGGCUUAGAAGCAGCCAUCAUUUAAAGAAAGCGUAAUAGCUCACUGGUCGAGUCGGCCUGCGCGGAAGAUGUAACGGGGCUAAACCAUGCACCGAAGCUGCGGCAGCGACGCUGAUGCGUUGUUGGGUAGGGGAGCGUUCUGUAAGCCUGCGAAGGUGUGCUGUGAGGCAUGCUGGA